ACAUUUAUUAAUUAACUUAAACCACACAUAUACCGGCACGUAAUACGGGGUGCUCUGCAAACCAACAGGUUUCAGGGUCGUGUUAUGGGGUAUAUGGAGGCUUAACC
rnacentral:sRNA from 1 species